rnacentral:rRNA from 1 species
GACGAACGCUGGCGGCGUGCUUAACACUUGCAAGUCGAACGGUGAAAGCGGAGCUUGCUCCGCUGGAUCAGUGGCGAACGGGUGAGUAACACGUGGGCAACCUGCCCCUCACUUCGGGAUAACUCCGGGAAACCGGGGCUAAUACCGGAUAUGACCUCCUUGGGCAUCCUUGGAGGUGGAAAGUUUUUCGGUGAGGGAUGGGCCCGCGGCCUAUCAGCGUGUUGGUGAGGUAGUGGCUCACCAAGGCGACGACGGGUAGCCGGACUGAGAGGGCGACCGGCCACACUGGGACUGAGACACGGCCCAGACUCCUACGGGAGGCAGCAGUGGGGAAUAUUGCGCAAUGGGCGAAAGCCUGACGCAGCAACGCCGCGUGCGGGAUGACGGCCUUCGGGUUGUAAACCGCUUUCAGCAGGGAAGAAGCCGCAAGGUGACGGUACCUGCAGAAGAAGCACCGGCUAACUACGUGCCAGCAGCCGCCGUAA